rfam:Sus scrofa isolate TJ Tabasco breed Duroc chromosome 12, whole genome shotgun sequence.
AAGGACCCCGCAGUUGGAGCCUCUCCGCUGGGUUCGCUUUUCGCUGGGCUGCUUAGGGAACCUAGAUUCCAGAAAAGUUUUCGGAGG